CUCUACAAUUGAAACUUACAGUGUCUCUCUUGCAUUUGGAAAACAUAUGCAAAUCACGUUUCUUUCAAAUAAACACAAUUUUCUGUAUGGUUUGUUAUCUAUACAUUCCGUCAUGAACACAAUUUUCUGGUAUGUGGUUAUUACCUUGCUAUUUGCUACUUCCGGCUAUAUGCUUUACAUUUUACACCUAUUGCACAUUUAGCGUUGCUCUCUUCAUAUAUUUGUUGAACAAGUUAGUGGAAAAGACCACAUGCUCAACCAUUUGAGCAUUCCAGCAGCUUGUUUCACUCACCCAGAAAUUAAGUAUGGUUGGACUCACAGAGGAAGAAUUACGUCCUUAUUUCUCACUGCCAGUGGUUAUAGAUGGUCUUUUCAACCUCUCAAAGAUGCUCUUUGAUAUUGCCAGUGGUUAUUUCUCACUGUCAGAUUUUACUGUGUCAAAAAUUGCUUAGGCAUUCCAAUAGCUUACUUCUAUUUUGAUCCAUAUUCUUGUCCACUGGAAAAACAUAGGGGGCAUGGAUGGACAUCGUUGCUGGUUGGAGCCGUAUUUUGUGUGAGGUGCAGCAAGAAGAGCCACUCGAAGUCGAUUUCCUCCCUUUUGUCGAAGUUGAUUUCAUCUGUUUUUCGCAGCAACAAGAAGGUGGUGCUGUCCAUACUUGAACUGUCUGUAAUCUCUCUUAUGCGCUAUUCGACCAAGAAAUGGUCUUCUUGAUUCAGUUCUCGGUAACCAAAAUUAUCAAAGCGUUCUUUCUCUCGUGGGCGAUGCUGUAUCCACCAAGAGCACAUUUCAUGUUUUCUACUGCCCAAGGUAUCGCCAACCAUAAUUUCUUCAUCAAAAGGAUAUCGAUAAUUGAGUCACAGCUUCCUUCAUUUUUCAACAACUUUGAUCCUCGUGCUACUGCUGCUAAUUUCCCUUCAGGUGCGCAAGCAUAUUUGGCUGGGCUUACAUUCGCAUUAGCCGUUUCACCUUGCAGCACUCCUGUGCUGGCAACCCUGCUUGGAUAUGUAGCUGCAUCCAAGAGCCUGCUUUCAUUCCGCAAAUUCUCAGCAUGGAUCAACCCAAUGAGAUAUUUUCUCCCCAUUUUUUGGCAUUAGGAUAAGUUGUGCUUGAGGUUCCUUUUUUGCAUCUACUCUUCAAUGUUCAUCUUCAUUAGUGGUCAGAUGUUGACAAUUAUGUUCCUUCGAGUGUGGUGGUCGCUCAUAUACAUGUAUUUGAUGUUUUGUAGUGGUGCUUUCCUCUUAGGCGGUGGUAUUUAUACUCUGUUGGACCGGCUUUUCCCAGUGACAAUGGCUUGACGGCGCAAGAAUGGAAAACAUGCAAGUGUCCCUAAUUAUUACUCUGUAUCUGCUUCUCAUUGCUUCAGUAACUUGAAAUUCAUAGACUCUUUGCUAUAAAUACUAAAGAGACAAACCAUGCCAGUAAUAAAAUACUAAAGAGACAAACCAUGCGGAGGAGAAACUGUAACAAACUUGGGUCAGAUUGGCCUGAAGAGACAAACCAUGACUCACAAUGGAUUAAGAUCUUUGAACAAAUUGGACAUGCUACAAAUGAAAAAGAACGCGAAAGCAAUCGCCAAGCAUGCCAGUAAUAAAAAUGGUCCCAAAACUGAGAAUGAUAGACCAUCAAGCGCCAUUAUAUAUGGAAGUGGGAUGAACAUUGUUUUUGUGGGAGCUGAGGUGGGUCCAUGGAGCAAAACUAGAGGGCUUGGUGAUGUUCUUGGGGGACUGCCACCAGCCAUGGCAGGCAAUGGGCAGUUUCCCCACGUUACGACCAGUACAAAGAUGCAUGGGAUACUCAUUGACCAAGGCAGAUAAGAAAGAUGAAGCAUGAGAGAAGUAUCCUGACAAAGCUGAAGCAGCAGUGUGGUGGUCAGUUCACAUCAAAGAUGGAAGGAAUGGUCACAGAUUUGACUUUGGCAAGGGAAAAUCAAACUAACUUUGAAGAGUACCUCAAAACCAAUCCAGAUGCAAGUCCUGGGAUUGACCUGACUGUUGCUGUCCUAACUACUGGCUUUUGGCCUAGUUACAAGUCUUUUGACCUCAACCUCAGGCAGAUUGAGUUAUCAGGAAAUCAUGACUCAAUUAAACUUGACAGAUGAUGAUGUUGUUAG